rnacentral:rRNA from 1 species
CCUACGGGAGGCAGCAGUAGGGAAUUUUCCGCAAUGGGCGAAAGCCUGACGGAGCAAUACCGCGUGAGGGAUGACGGCCUGUGGGUUGUAAACCUCUUUUCUCAAGGAAGAAGUUCUGACGGUACUUGAGGAAUAAGCAUCGGCUAACUCUGUGCCAGCAGCCGCGGUAAUACAGAGGAUGCAAGCGUUAUCCGGAAUCACUGGGCAUAAAGCGUCUGUAGGUUGUUUAGUAAGUCUGCUGUUAAAGACUGGGGCUUAACCCCAGAAAAGCAGUGGAAACUGCUAGACUCGAGUGUGGUAGAGGUAGAGGGAAUUCCUAGUGUAGCGGUGAAAUGCGUAGAUAUUAGGAAGAACACCAAUGGCGAAGGCACUCUACUGGGCCAUAACUGACACUGAGAGACGACAGCUAGGGGAGCAAACGGGAUUAGAUACCCCGGUAGUCCUAGCCGUAAACGAUGGAUACUAGAUGUUGCACGUAUUAACCCGUGCAGUAUCGUAGCUAAGGCGUUAAGUAUCCCGCCUGGGAAGUACGCUCGCAAGAGUGAAACUCAAAUGAAUUGAGGCUUGAGACCGNGCGAGCGACGACGAGGAGAG